UACGGAGGGUGCAAGCGUUAUCCGGAUUUACUGGGUUUAAAGGGUGCGCAGGCGGAAAUGUAAGUCAGUGGUGAAAUCCCGCAGCUUAACUGCGGAACUGCCAUUGAUACUAUGUUUCUUGAAUGUCGUCAAGGCCAGCGGAAUAGGACAUGUAGCGGUGAAAUGCAUAGAUAUGUCCUAGAACACCGAUUGCGAAGGCAGCUGGCUGGGCGAUGAUUGACGCUGAGGCACGAAAGCGUGGGUAGCGAAC
rnacentral:rRNA from 1 species